rnacentral:rRNA from 1 species
UACGAAGGGGGCUAGCGUUGCUCGGAAUCACUGGGCGUAAAGGGUGCGUAGGCGGGUCUUUAAGUCAGGGGUGAAAUCCUGGAGCUCAACUCCAGAACUGCCUUUGAUACUGAAGAUCUUGAGUCCGGGAGAGGUGAGUGGAACUGCGAGUGUAGAGGUGAAAUUCGUAGAUAUUCGCAAGAACACCAGUGGCGAAGGCGGCUCACCGGCCCGGUACUGACGCUGAGGCACGAAAGCGUGGGGAGCAAACAGG